AGACAUUGCUCAGAGAUUUCAAGUGCAGAUAAAAGAUCUGGCAAAUUUUAUCUUUUCAUCCGAAUUAACUGAAGCUAAAAAGAUUGAUGGCAAAAGCAUUACAUGCGGAAGCUUAGUCGAUUAUUUUAAGGAUUAUGUGAAGACUAUUAAUGAAGAAGGG